rnacentral:rRNA from 1 species
UACGAAGGGGGCUAGCGUUGCUCGGAAUCACUGGGCGUAAAGGGUGCGUAGGCGGGUCUUUAAGUCAGGGGUGAAAUCCUGGAGCUCAACUCCAGAACUGCCUUUGAUACUGAAGAUCUUGAGUUCGGGAGAGGUGAGUGGAACUGCGAGUGUAGAGGUGAAAUUCGUAGAUAUUCGCAAGAACACCAGUGGCGAAGGCGGACUCACUGGCCCGAUACCGU